CUUAAGCAUAUCAAUAAGCGGAGGAAAAGAGAACCAACAGGGGAUUGCCCCCAGUAACGGCGAGUGAAGCGGCAACAGCUCAACUAUUGAAAUCUGGCCCCCGCGGGUCCGAGUUGUAAUUUGCAGAGGAUGCUUUUGGUGCGGCGCCUUCCGAGUUCCCUGGAACGGGACGCCAUAGAGGGUGAGAGCCCCGUCCGGUCGGAUGCCUAGCCUCUGUAAAGCUCCUUCGACGAGUCGAGUAGUUUGGCAAUGCUGCUCAAAAUGGGAGGUAUAUGUCUUCUAAAGCUAAAUACCGGCCAGAGACCGAUAGCGCACAAGUAGAGUGAUCGAAAGAUGAAAAGCACUUUGAAAAGAGGGUUAAAUAGUACGUGAAAUUGUUGAAAGGGAAGCGCUCAUGACCAGACUUGGGCGUGGUGAAUCACCCGGCGUUCUCGCCGGUGCACUUUGCCUGUCCAGGCCAGCAUCAGCUCGCCUCGGGGGAUAAAGGCUUCGGGAAUGUGGCUCCCUCGGGAGUGUUAUAGACCGUUGCGCAAUACCCUGGGGUGGGCUGAGGUACGCGCUCCGCAAGGAUGCUGGCGUAAUGGUCAUCAGCGACCCGUCUUGAAACACGGACCAAGGAGUCGUCUUCGUAUGCGAGUGUUCGGGUGUCAAACCCCUACGCGUAAUGAAAGUGAACGCAGGUGAGAGCUUCGGCGCAUCAUCGACCGAUCCUGAUGUUCUCGGAUGGAUUUGAGUAAGAGCAUACGGGGCCGGACCCGAAAGAAGGUGAACUAUGCCUGUAUAGGGUGAAGCCAGAGGUCUCUCUGGUGGAGGCUCGCAGCGGUUCUGACGUGCAAAUCGAUCGUCAAAUAUGGGCAUGGGGCGAAAGA
rnacentral:rRNA from 1 species